GAUGGUUUAGCUCAGCUGGUAGAGCGCUUAUAGAUUUUAACAUGUGGACGUGGGUUCGGAUCCCACGGUCAGCG
rnacentral:tRNA from 1 species